rfam:Ascaris suum AG00703, whole genome shotgun sequence.
GAAAUCAUACUUCACAGAAUCAUUUCUGUAGUAUGCAUUUCACCGUCUCUCUUCAAAGAGCGACAAAACGCAGCCGCGAUGAUCGAUUCGCGGCGCGAUCCUCAGAGCGUGAAGAAGCUCCCAUCUGCAACCCUGUAGAUGGCAGCUUGAUGACCGCCGAGAUUUCCUUACCGGGGAUCUCGAUGAGGGUUGCGCUUGCUGAGCGGU